rnacentral:lncRNA from 1 species
GGCAAUAAUAACUUAAAUAUAUGGAGGCCAAAUGAAGAGAGUAGUGUGCAACAAUAAAAGAGAUUUUAAGGAUGUCACAAUAAUAAAUAAUAAAUAUAAUAAAUAUUUAUUAUUUAAAUAAAAGAGAGAAAGGAAUAGAAUCCGUACCUUAUUAGUGUGUGCCCAUGGGCACUGUAACACCCCACUUUUACAAUGGGGCUAAACGAUUAAAUAAUUCUAAAUUCAUUCAGAAAUAAUAUAAUAAUUUAACAACCAAAAUGUCAAUAUGGAUAAUAAAGUCUGAAACUCCAUGAUAAUAAAUCCAACAAAGUCUGAAAUCAAUAGAAAUAUAAGCUCUAAAGUCUUAUUAUAGCCCCUAACAACGAAAGCAACUAAAGGUGGGUGUCACUCAUCACGAUCCCCGCUACCCCUGAUUACCUGCGGAAAGAAAGCAAACGAGAGUGAGCCAAUGCCCAGUACGAAUAUAAAAAUAGUGUAGGUGCAAAGAGUAUCAAUAAUCUCGAAACAAUGAUUACAAUAAAUUGGUACAAAUAAGUACCUCAAGUCACAAUAAUCGAGAUAAACAAUGAACUAUAAAUAAGACUCAAUGAUGAAUCAAUGACACAAUACGGGUCUCUUACACAAAACUGUACUUGCUCAACUCCAAUCACCGAGCAAAUACAGAACAAUGAUUUCUUCUUCGGUUAUCCACAAGAAGAAAUAAAGAAUGUAUAAAACAUUCCACAAAACAAUAACGAUCAUGAUCUUCUCACGUCUCAUACCCCAGAAACGUGCUCGUAUGCUUAAAUCACCGAUACGAGUUGGUGUCUAGUUCACCUUUACUACGAACUCCAUGUGAACAUUGUCCGUGAUUUACCCACACGGAUAAGUUUAAGAGCCCAAACAAUUACAAAAGUUGCCGACUCGAGAAACAAAAUAAGUACAAUGAUGCAAUAAUUGUGCAAAGAGAAACAAUUUAUUAUGAGCCAAGGCAACAAUAACUUAACUACAUGGAGGCCAAAUGAAGAGGGUAGUGUGCAACAAUAAAAGAGAUUUUAAGGAUGUCACAAUAAUAAAUAAUAAAUAUAAUAAAUAUUUAUUAUUUAAAUAAAAGAGAGAAAGGAAUAGAAUCCGUACCUUAUAUUAUUGAGCUAACUUUUAAAAAUAAAAAUCCAAGAUCAGGUGCACCGCUAAUAGCCUCUAUCUAGAUUGAAAAACGGAAUCCAUGUCCAAGUAUUAGUACCAGAUACAAUGUACUUAUAUACUAUUAGUACUAAUAUUAAGUACUAAUCCCAGAAAUACAUAUUUAUAAUAAUAUUAUAAUAUAAUAAUAUGAUUGCAGAUUACAACAAUACCAAA